ACAAAUGUAAAUUAAAGGUAAAUUUGUUGCCUUCCAAGCAACCUAUAUGAGUUCGAUUCUCAUCAUUUGUA
rnacentral:tRNA from 1 species